rnacentral:lncRNA from 1 species
CGCUAUCGCUUACUUCCGGUAUACUUCCGGAAAAUUUGCAUAAAACUAGCAAGUGAGCUUUAUUCUCUGUACUAUUCUCAAGAUUUCAAGCUAGGUUUAGGCAAAUAAAAGUGCACCGUUCAAGUUAUACAAGUAGCUAAAGAACUGAAUUGCUUUAAGUUACAUGGCAGAUACAGAACUGCAGCCCGAUAGCCAGUGCGGUGAAAACAUUUUUGAUAUCCCAUAUAUGUAAUAGUUUUAAUUCAAAGCAAUAAUGUUUUUUAAGAUCUUCAAUAUCACUAGAAUUCAAAAAUUUUACGUUGUGUCUCACAAGGCGCGUUUUUGGGACUUGAAGUGUCAAAGGUGUCCAAUAGAUGACAUAGGUGUUCUUGUUUAUCAUGUGAUGGCGGAUUGUUGGGUGGUUGUCAAAAGUUUUCCUUAAUUUUUCCAUGAAAGUUACCGAUGAAUUCAUCAGUAAAUUCAAGUUUAUUUCUGUGCAACUUGUUUGUAAUGUGAUUUAUUCCGUAUGUGUGUUGGAUCACCUUACAUAUUUCUAUUAUUACGUGUAGCAUGCGUGUAGGAAGGAACGCGAAAGGCAACUGAAACUACAGGUAGCCUACCAUCAAUUCUUUGAUUAAAAUCGCCGCUCUGCUGAAUGCUUUAUCCUGUUGAUGCAGUUCAUAUUCUAUUGGUAAUCUGGAGUUUCUAAUAAUGUUGGUAGAUCACUAACCCCAGCGUGGACAACACAUGUUGUUUUUUCAUGUUUUCUACAAAUAAUGCAUUGACAGACAAACCAUGGGUAAUCUUCAGGUUAAUUGCAGCAACUUGGGACUUGUCCUGUGAAAAGACACAGGGCACAUGACCAGAUUUGUGUUUUUCUGAAUGUUCUAUUCAACUAGUAGUUAGUUGGAACCCUAACUCAAACACAGACAACACAUUGCUGCUGCCUUACGGCCACAGGCAGGAAAAUGAUUCUUUUCUUCAGAAAAUUUUAGUGAAAGGCGUGAAGAAUCAAGAAUUCAAGUUUAGCUGCUGCGUGCUGUCAGCAAGCAAGCAAUCCAAUUGAUGUCCACCAGGUGGCGCGAGUGUCUUCAAGGCCCAAAUUCGGCCAUUUUGUUCCUUGACGUAGCAGAAGUGAGAUGCCGGUCGUGACGUUUCCCAAAAUGAAAAGGUGAUUGAUCUUACCACUUUGCCAUCGGAAUUGAAAAUGCCUGUACAAUUGCCGAAUUGUCGUGCCUCGUGUGACUCGCUGCCUGUACCCAGUCGUACGUCUCAUCCCAUGCAACAUCAAAAGUCUAACAACCACGCUGCACGCUGCAGCCAGAUGGUGAAAGGUGUGAUGAAGAAAAGUUCAACCGUUGUAUGCAGGAUGUGGUGUCAGUGUUAUCCAGAAGUAGCUGUGCUGGAGUUAUUCCGAAGCAGCUGAGCCAGAAUUUUUCCAAAUUGCAGACUUCAAAUUUUAACUGCCUUCAUUUGUGUUUUUUGCUUUGCAAGUGGUAUCCGUGGUGCUGAUUUGAAAUAUUUUUAUCCCCUUUUAUUUGUGGUUUUGCUCUGCCGAUGAGUUUCUGACUUGAAUUGGUUUCAUCUGUCGUCUUUUGUGUUUUUACUUGGGCAGUAUACGAUUGUGGCAAACUGAUUCUAUGUCAGUUUUGAUACAGUCGACAACUGCUAGAUUAAAUUCCGGCUUUCCGCACCAACAAAAUAAUAACGGCACAUGUUAUUAUCGCGGUUGGGAAAGUCACAGGCCCCCCCCUCCCUGGGGGCCAUAAAAAAUAUAUGUGGUUGUGUU